AAGUAGUAGAUAUAAUAAAAGUGAUCAAAAUAAUUAUAUAAUUUAUACAUUUUAUUAAAACGAGGUAAUUAAUCGAAAAUACAAGAACUUUUUAGCUUGUAAUUAAUUAAAGAACAAGAAUAUCUUUUUAAAAUUUUAGAAAUUUUUUUUUGAGAGAUAAAUAACAUGCUACCCGCUUUGUUUAUUUCGUUUAGAAAUAAACUUAGUUAAAAAUAUGAAUCAACUAGAAUUUAAAAUUAGAACUUCAGAUACUAACUGUAAACUCCUUUGACACUUGCACUACAGACGGCCAGUAAAAUUUUAUUCAAGCUGUUCCAGGAGGUGCCUUAAUAACUUUUUUUCGUUUUCGCUGUGACUUUGUACCCUAUCACUGUAGCUAUCAUAGUUUAGUACCUUGUAUACAGAUGUUCCAAGUUCCAACUGCCUCAAUUAUCAAGUGCAUUUACUGCCAACUUUACUUUCUGAGUUUGUGUUAUCGCUUUGGUCGACACGUACUACUGUAUAUCAAUCGCACAUUACAAUAAAAUUAGAUUAAAGAGACACAUAUUUGAAAUAUUUUUGUGUAAGUAUUCUAUUUAUGUCAAAAAUUUUUUAAAAAAUUUUUAAGAUUUAAAUAUAAAGCCCAAUCCAAUUAAAAAUAAAAAGUUACUUUACUCAACCCACCCCACCCAACCCCUUCGGUCCGAUUACAAAUAGAAAAGAAAAAAAAAAGAAAAAUCGAUCACUAUCUUCCCUUCUUCCCUCACUCAAUCCGCUGAAAUUCUAGACGAAAAGCCAUUUUUAAAUAAGUGUUGGUAAAUUAAUAGCAUUCUUUUUGGGUUAUACCAAUAUUUUUAAACUGUCACUAUAUACCUAGCGAUCCCACAUAUAGCAAUAUUUUUUAAAAGUGUCGGUAAUUUAGCCAACACUACUUUUUUGACCUGUACCGAUAUUUAAAAGUAUCGCUAUAUCCCGUUUUUGUUAUAGUGACAUUAUAUUAUUUAUUAAAAAUUAAUUUCAUAUUUUUUAGAAAAAAUAUAAUAAAAAUAUUUUUUAAUAAUCAUGAUCUGACAAAUAAAUUUAAAAAAAUAAUUUAAUUGGUUGAUGCUGCCAGAUCAGU
rnacentral:lncRNA from 1 species